rnacentral:lncRNA from 1 species
GAUAUUAUCAGUUCCCCACAAUACAAGUGCGACUGUCUCAGGAUACUUCCCACCAUUGUCAGCUUUCUGCCUCUCAAUUAAUCUGUCCACCACAACUUUUGCACUCUGCAUUGCUGCUGUUGUAGGAAUGGAUUGUGGGUCUAGUGCGUGGAUGUUCUUUCCAGUUGGCAACACCUUUGGGUUUCUGAUUGGGUCACCACCAGGCCCUGGCUCCACAUAUUUGCCUUCCAAGGCUUGUUUCAGACUCCCCAACUCAUUGUCAGCGACUAUAAGUUUCAAACAGUCUCCUAGGAACCGGAAUAAUGUUCUCAGCUUAUCCCUAUCUGCCUGAUAGAAUUUUGUGCUUGACAAGUAAUCAACCCAUGGUUCAUUAAUGCCAAACCCGAGGAUAGAGCUAAGCUUAUCUGCAACAUCUACAACUUGACCCUUUUUGUUAGUUGUUUUCUGCACAAAGGCAGAGACGGCGCCACGCGAGGCCUCAGUUAUUUUCCGAAGAAGUUCUACAUCCUUCAAGAUUCCCUUGUCACUCUCUCUAUAUACAUCCUCUAUGUUUCGUCCAACAGUUUCAG